CCAUGUUUGAUAUUCCUUACUAAGGACCCCAGAUAUAAACCAACUUUUGGGGCCAACAAGAUGUCUCAGAAGGUUAAAAAAAAAAAAAACUGACCCUUGCUAUACAAGCCUGACCACCCAACUCUUCACCCUGGAAAGAAUGCAGUGUCUUACACCUGCAAUCCCAGCACUCCUGUGGCUAGACGGGAGACAGAGAUAGAGGCUCAUAGGCCAGCUAGCCUUCAGUACACAGCAUGGCAGAAACAGCAAUAAAGAUGACAAUGACAAGGGCAGCUGUCACUACACGACACUUUCAAAUUUGGGUCUUUUGAAGUUCCUGAGAAAGAAAGAAUAAGAAGAAUAACAUUCUCACCUGAGAUUCCAGAUUCCAACACAGAGUGAAGACCAGCUAAAACAUCCAGCCUUGUGGACUGAAGAACUACCAGAUUUUUGGCCUUCCUGUGAGAAAACAGCCAUUGUUAGACUAGCUGGACCACAGAGUAUAAACUAUUCUAAU